rnacentral:lncRNA from 1 species
GACAACCGACCAAGGGUCGGGAGCUGAAGACCCGGGACGAGACGCGGUCUCCGAGCCAGACCCGAUCUCCACCUGGGUACUCCACAUCGAUGGAGCUUCAAAUGCUCAGGGAAGCGGGGUCGGGCUCCUGCUCACGAAUUCGGAUGGGGUGGUCACCGAGUACGCCCUCCGGUUCGACUUCAAGGCCUCCAACAACCAAGCCG